rnacentral:tRNA from 1 species
CGGUGUAGCUCAGUUGGUAGAGCAGCUGACUUGUAAUCAGCAGGUCGGGGGUUCGAAUCCUCUCGCC